UGUCCCCACACGCUGUGCCCGCAGCCACUCCUCCCGUGGGUGCCCGGGGCAGCACCCAGGGCACCUCGGAGGUUUUGGUGAUCCCAUGUACAAGGGGAAAAAGAGGAAACUAUCACUUGUUCAGAAGACUGUGCCCAGGAUUCAUGAUAAUAAUCCAGACAAGACUUGCAUGUUUUCUGCUCCAUUCUUUGGGUCAAGAACACACUGGUUAAUAGCCAAUUAUUUCAUACCCUAAGGAAAUUUUGGCAAAGAAGUUCCUGGGAAGAGUCAACUUGUUUUGGGAAAUGAGACUAAUAUUCACUGUCCAAAUUCUGAAGCCUGCUGAAAUUUUCCUGGACUGCCUAAACCAGAAUGUGCAGUUCCAGCUAAGAUAUCUGAAGGCACAAAGAGCUGAAGAAGGCUGGGAUGCAGGGGAAGGGAGAGGCCAGGAUUGUCACCCAGAGCUCCAGAGCAGGUGUGCCUGGGCAGGUCAGGCUCCAGCACUGCAGUUAAGGACCGAGGUGACAUAUAACCCUUUUUUAUACUCAGCUGGAAGUUGUGGUUGAAAAUCCCCACUCUCAACACCCCCAGGCCCCAUUCCAGACU